UGGGAGAGCGCGCGCCUGAUGGUGGUACGG
rnacentral:piRNA from 1 species